rnacentral:rRNA from 1 species
GUGUCAGCAGCCGCGGUAAUACGUAGGGUGCAAGCGUUAAUCGGAAUUACUGGGCGUAAAGCGUGCGCAGGCGGUUUGCUAAGACCGAUGUGAAAUCCCCGGGCUCAACCUGGGAACUGCAUUGGUGACUGGCAGGCUAGAGUAUGGCAGAGGGGGGUAGAAUUCCACGUGUAGCAGUGAAAUGCGUAGAGAUGUGGAGGAAUACCGAUGGCGAAGGCAGCCCCCUGGGCCAAUACUGACGCUCAUGCACGAAAGCGUGGGGAGCAAACAGGAUUAGAUAC